GGCCUGCGCUCUCCGUGCAGCUGGGCGGCCAAGGCCGGGCCGCCGUCCCGGCUGCGAGGGGCCCCGCGGCGGAGAGCGGCGCGGGAGGUUAGGGUUAGGGUGCCGGAGACCCCGGGGCAGGAGCCCAGGGCCGUGGCGGGAGAAGAGCGGGCCAGCCUGCAGGUGCAGGGGCGCAGCAUCCCUGGUGAUGAGCCUGCUCCUCGCCUGCCUCCUUUUUCUGUUCUCGUCCAACCCGAGAGUCAUGGGAGACGGGGGCGAUGUAGGGAAACGAGGGAGGAAUCUCAGCCGGGCAGGUCAGGCUCAGCUUGCGCCCCCGCCCCACACAGUGAUGCUGGCGGAGAUUGUGAAGCACUUCCACCCCCGGCUCGUGGACCUGCACAACUACACCCCCACCUGCAACACGGAUCAGAAGCUCAGCAACUGGCACAUUCUCAACAGGAAGGUCUUUCCCAAGCUGAGCUUGUGUGUCUCGGAGACGGACAUCCGCAAGGUAGUGGCCAGCACGCCUGGGGCCAUCGAGCCCAUCCUGUGUGCUCUGCGGGAGAAGGUCGAGGCUGGCGCUGUCUGCACGGACCUGCCCGGGGCAGCGUCCGCAGGGUCAGGACCCUCUGGCGUGGAUGCCGCCCCGCCGUGGGCAGAGCUCACCGCCCCUGCACACGCCGGCCUGCCAAGCCCCCCAGCUCUCUCCAGCAUGAAGACCGCUCAGAAUGAGAGCGUUCCGGAGAAGAUGGGCCAGUGCACCUGCAGAGGUUGGGACCCAGCCGGCAGGCCCUGGGACUGCCCAGACCCUGGGGGACAGCUGCUGGAGGACAAGGAGCAGGCGCUGGCCAUUCUGCAGGAGAUGGUCAAGAGGCAGAGGGAAGAGCACAGUGGCCCUGUGUGCUCCCCCCGCCUCGCCGGCCCUGUCGCCCAGAGACCCACAUGCUGGCGGGUCUGCAGUAAGGCCGCAGGCGCCACCACCCGGAAGCGCCGGAUGUCCAGCUUGGGCCACGGGGUCCCAGCGUUGCCCAACGAUGGCAGAGAGGAAGCCACGGGGAGAAGUGAAGCUGCUGCCUCCGCCACAGCACCACGGCCCCUGCCGCCGGGCCUCGCUCGGGUCUGUGCGCCAGCAGAGUGAACCAUGACUGUCUUGUGUUACGAAACCCGGAGGGGAAUACAGCUCACCCUGCCCUCUGGGGUGCGGGCACGGCCGAGUGCCCUUGAGUGGCUGUAACUCGUGCGAGACGCACAGCGCAGGGUCGGGCAGACACGUGGGCUAGGCCGGCUGUGCCCGCUGAGCGGGAAGCUGCUCACUGGACGGUGCUGCCCCGGCUGUGGCCUCCGCAGCGGGUCACUGGGCGAGGGGCACCACGGGCCCGGGUCCUGGUCCUCUGUGUGGCAUGUGGGCUGUCACACCACAGCCUUCACCUUGGAAACACCGUGCUUGACACAGACCAGCUUUUUCCAGUCCGGCCUCCCGCCUUUCUCCCCUGCUAGAGCAGGUGGGCCUGAGCUCCCAGCAGGGGCAGCUGUGGGCUGCGGCCAUCCAUCGCAGGUGGCUGCUGUGCUCAGCAGGAGGCACCGGCCCCAGGAGGCCCUUCUGCACCUCCUGGCUCCCGGCUUUUAGGGGCAAACGUGGAACAGAGUGUGCAGCUGCGGCGCAGCCCCUCAGUCAACCUCUAGCGCAGCCCCUGCGCCCUGAGCUCCCGCCAGGCCCUGGCUCAAGGCUGUCAGUGAUGCGGGGCUCCGUCCUCACCCCGCGUCCCAGCCCUUCCACCCGGUGUGAGGCGGGACACAGGCUGGGGGGCAAGGCGUUCCCGGAGGGCUGGCGGCUCUGGCAUGCUGGGACCAGGGCGACACUUGGGAGCAACCCCUGGGGAGCAGGAAGGGGCGAGGGGAGGGCACCAGCCCUGCUGGGUCCCUCGGCUCAUACCCACCCGUGGGGCCUGGGGUCUGUCUCUGCCGAGUGUCCUGGUGGGAGGGCCUUGGGUCUGAUGGGGCCGUGUGCCUCUGGCAGAUGGGGAAGGGGGGCGGGGCUGCCUCGGAGGUAGCUGCUGUUCACGUCUGUGUGUUGGAAGCUUUUGCAGGUGAAGGUGGACAGGCUGGAGCACCUGGUGGAGCUGAAGGACCGGAGGAUCGCAGAGCUGAAAUGAAAAUAAUGGUUCUUUAAAACUUGCCUAAGAGACACGGAGUCCUGCUGCUGCUUUUCCCACGUACUUUUGAAAUCUCGGACUCUGAAAAGAACUCAUGCUUUAAAAAAAGAAAAAGAUGCAAAGAACCA